AGGAUGUUCGGCUUCGGUCACCACGGCCACCAUGGCCAGAACCCCCCCGCCCACGCUCCGCCCGCCGCCGGCGGCAACCAGCCCACCUUCAAGAUCUUCUGCAAGGCCGACGAGGGCUACUGCCUCUCCGUCCGCGACGGCAACGUCGUCCUCGCCCCCUCCAACCCCCGCGACGAGCACCAGCACUGGUUCAAGGACAUGCGCUUCAGCACCCAGAUCAAGGACGAGGAGGGUAACCCCGCCUUCGCCAUCGUCAACAAGGCCACUGGCCUCGCCGUCAAGCACUCCCUCGGCCAGUCCCACCCGGUUCGUCAUCUUCUCUUUCCCCUCUCUUUUUUUCCCUCUUUCUUUCUUGAGAAAACAUUCCCCUGUUAUGGUUGCAACUAUUCGUCCGUCCGGUUUCCGAAUCUAGAUUCGUUCUACUAGUGCUUAUUAGUAAUGGAAGUGGAAUGAUUUGUUUGGGUGUGCAGGUGAAGCUGGUGCCAUUCAACCCGGAGUUCCUCGACGAGUCCGUGAUGUGGACGGAGAGCGGCGACGUCGGCAAGGGCUUCCGCUGCAUUCGCAUGGUGAACAACAUCCGCCUCAACUUCGACGCCCUCAACGGCGACAAGGACCACGGCGGCGUGCACGACGGCACCACCGUCGUCCUCUGGGAGUGGGCCAAGGGCGACAACCAGAGCUGGA
rnacentral:lncRNA from 1 species